rnacentral:rRNA from 1 species
GACGAACGCUGGCGGCGUGCUUAACACAUGCAAGUCGAACGGAAAGGCCCUGCUUGCAGGGUGCUCGAGUGGCGAACGGGUGAGUAACACGUGGGUGAUCUGCCCCUUACUUUGGGAUAAGCCUGGGAAACUGGGUCUAAUACUGGAUAGGACCAUGCUGUAGGUGGUGUGGUGGAAAGAUUAGUUUCGGUAAGGUAUGAGCUCGCGGCCUAUCAGCUUGUUGGUGGGGUAAUGGCCUACCAAGGCGUCGACGGGUAGCCGGCCUGAGAGGGUGGACGGCCCCAUUGGGACUGCGAUGCGGCCCAGACUCCUACGGGAGGCAGCAGUGGGGGAUAUUGUACAAUGGGCGCAAGCCUGAUGCAGCGACGCCGCGUGGGGGAUGACGGCCUUCGGGUUGUAAACUCCUUUCAGCCAUGACGAAGCCCUUGUGGUGACGGUAGUGGUAGAAGAAGCACCGGCUAACUACGUG